rnacentral:lncRNA from 1 species
UUUUUCUUUUUCUUUUUUUUUUUUUUUGAGACGGAGUCUUGCUCUGUUGCCCAGGCUGGAGUGCAGUGGCACAAUCUCACUGCAAGCUCUGCCUCCCUGGUUCACGCCAUUCUCCUGCCUCAGCCUCCGGAGUAGCUGGGAUUACAGGCGCCCGCCACCUCGCCCGGUUGAUUUCUUUUUGUAUUUUUAGUAGAGACGGGGUUUCACUGUGUUAGCCAGGAUGGUCUCGAUCUAUUUUCUAAUCUGAUAUUCAGGAUCUAAAAAAGUAGUUCUGUAUACCGGGAUGACCUCAUGAUGCCAGGGGUCUUGGUUGCUUUGAAUUGUUUUUCUAGUGGUAGUAAUGAAUUUGUACUAAAGUUUUCAUCUGUACACAUUGUAAACAAUAGGACAGACUUGAGUGUUGUGGAAUUUGGAUACUCAUUAGAGCUGUUUGUUUAUUUAUUUAUUUAUUUUUGAGACAGAAUGAGUCUUGUCGUGUCUCUCAGGCUGGAGUGCAGUGGUGUGAUCAUGGCUUACUGCAACCUUGAGCUCUCAGACUCAAGAGUUCCUCCCCCUUCAGCCUCCUAAGCAACUGGGACUACAGGCAUGAGCUACCACGCCCAGCUAACUUUAAAAAAGUUUUUUUAGUGGAGGUGACAUGUGACUAUGUUGCUCAGGCUGGUCUGCAACUCUGCCUCAAGUGAUCCUCUCAUCUCGGCCUCCCAAAGUGCUGGGAUUACAGGCAUGAGCCACUGUGCCCGGCCUGAUCUGAUUUUUAUUUUUAUGUUUAUUUAUUGAGAUGGAGUCUUGCUCUGUCACCAGGCUGGAGUGCAGUGGCUCGAUCUCGGCUCACUAUAACCUCUGACUCCCUUGUUCAAGUGAUUCUUCUGCUUCAGCCUCCUGAGUAGCUGGGAUUCCAGACGUGUGCCACCACGCCCAGCUAAUUUUUGUACUUUUAGUAGAGAUGGAGUUUCACCAUGUUAACCAGGAUGUUCUCCAUCUCCUGACCUCGUGAUCUGCCCACCUCGCCCUCCCAAAGUGUUGAAAUUACAGGUGUUAGCUACCUCUCUCAGCCCUGACUUUUAUUUUUAAGUCAACCCUCCACUUUUGGAGAAAUACAGAGAUUUGUGUUUUGAGUAUAUACUCGACUUUCCAGAAGCCAAAACAGAAAAACAUAGACUUUCAACAUUACUGUUGUAUCUUUUCCUUUAGUACACUUAUUUUGCACUAGCUAUUUUUGAUAAAAUGUUUUAACUGCUGUUUUCCUCUGAAAUACUUUUUAAAAGUUGAAUUAUGAGCAUCUUUUAUUCUCCAAAAAAUUAUAGAUAGGUUUUUCUAUGGAAGACUGUGAAAUGUCAGCUUUUUGUAAAUCACUAACAGUAAACUGAAUUCGUAGAGCAUAACUCUUGAAUGUUCACUGCCAUUUUUACCUAUGAAGAAUUACCUUCCUUUUGACCUUGUAACUACAGUACUGGUCUGCACGGAUAAAUAAACCCAGAUUCUCUACCCUUGACCCUAAGGAGGUAUAGUGGGGACAGAGGUCACUGUAGCUGCCACCUUGCAGUUGCAGGGAGGAACUGG